rnacentral:rRNA from 1 species
UACGUAGGGGGCUAGCGUUGUCCGGAUUUAUUGGGCGUAAAGAGCGUGUAGGCGGCCAGAUAGGUCUGCUGUGAAAACUCGAGGCUCAACCUCGAGCUGUCGGCGGAAACCAUUUGGCUAGAGUCCGGAAGAGGAGAGUGGAACUCCUGGUGUAGCGGUGAAAUGCGCAGAUAUCAGGAGGAACACCAAUGGCGAAGGCAGAUCUCUGGGCCGUAACUGACGCUGAGGAGCGAAAGCAUGGGGAGCGAACAGG